rnacentral:rRNA from 1 species
UACGGAGGGUGCGAGCGUUGUCCGGAAUCACUGGGCGUAAAGGGCGCGUAGGCGGCGCGGAUAGUCGGCGGUGAAAGCCCGGAGCUCAACUCCGGGUCGGCCGUCGAUACUUCCGGGCUUGAGCACUGUAGAGGCAGAUGGAAUUCCGGGUGUAGCGGUGGAAUGCGCAGAUAUCAGGAGGAACAUCCGUGGCGAAGGCGGCUCUCUGGGACGGUACUGACGCUGAGACGCGAAAGCGUGGGGAGCGAACAGG